AGGGUGUAAAACGCUGCAGACUUGGUGUUGGAAGCCCUUUGGGGGCAUUCAGUGCCGGAGAGAAGUUGUUAAGUCUGCUACUUGGGGAGUACGUCCGCAAGGAUGAAACUUAAAGGAAUUGGCGGGGGAGCACCGCAACGGGAGGAGCGUGCGGUUUAAUUGGAUUCAACACCGUAAAACUCACCAGGGAAGACUGUUACAUGAAGGCCGAGAUGAAGACUCUGCUAGAUUUUCAGAGAGGUGGUGCAUGGCGUCAGUGACU
rnacentral:rRNA from 1 species